rnacentral:rRNA from 1 species
UACUAGCGGUCCAAGUGGCAGCCAUGUUUAUUGGGUCUAAAACAUCCGUAGCUUGCCUUGUAAGUCUCUUGUGAAAUCUGGCAUCUUAAGUGUCAGGCGUGCAAGAGAUACUGCGAGGCUAGAGACCGGGAGACGUAAGGAGUACGGUUAGGGUAGCGGUAAAAUGCGUUGAUCCUUUCUGGACUAACGAUAGCGAAGGCGCCUUACGAGAACGGAUCUGACAGUGAGGGAUGAAGGCUAGGGGCGCAAAACGGAUUAGAUACCCCCGUA